rnacentral:rRNA from 1 species
AGGACGAACGCUGGCGGCGUGCCUAACACAUGCAAGUCGAACGAGGUCCAACCGGUGGCAACACUGGUGAAGACCUAGUGGCGAACGGGUGAGUAUCACGUGAGCAACCUGCCCCGAAGACUGGGAUAACACCGGGAAACCGGUGCUAAUACCGGAUAUCCCCACCGGAUCGCAUGGUCUGGUGAGGAAAUGAAUUUCGCUUUGGGAGGGACUCGCGGCCUAUCAGCUUGUUGGUGGUGUAACGGACCACCAAGGCUUCGACGGGUAGCUGGUCUGAGAGGACGAUCAGCCACACUGGGACUGAGACACGGCCCAGACUCCUACGGGAGGCAGCAGUGGGGAAUCUUGCGCAAUGGGCGAAAGCCUGACGCAGCAACGCCGCGUGAGGGACGAAGGCCUUCUGGGUUGUAAACCUCUUUCAGCAGGGACGAUUGUGACGGUACCUGCAGAAGAAGCCCGGCCAACUACGCGCCAGCAGCCGCGGU